AUUAGUGAGGCUCCAUAAGGUCAGCCAGGUCUCUUGACCCCAGCCAGGACCUCUUCCCACCACAUCAGGCUCCUGCUCCAUCCUCAGGCACCCAGACAAACCCCUCCACCGCCUAUGACAAAGAGGCUCAUUUGGAGCCUGGGCAAGAUUUGCAAACGUCAACCUUGUAAUUACAAGGAUGAAAUCAUCUGGUUCCUUUUAAGCAAAAGGGUUUAUUGAUCCCAACACUGAAGAAAUGCUAUUCUGGGUCCUCUGCUCAAGAAAUCUUCCCACCUCGGUGGUCAAAGUCGCUGGCACUGUAAGUACGUGCUGCUUACAAAUUUCACUGCUAAAACCCCUUGACCAUGAAGGCUGGGACUGCAGCUCAGUGGUAUAGCGCUUGAUGAGGUGAAUCCCUGGGUUUGAACUACAUGGCCUAGACUGUGGUGGUUUGAGUGAGAACUGGCCUUCCCAUAGGCUCAGAUGUUAGAAUACUUAAUCCCCAGUGAUGGCACUGUUGAGGUGUGGCCUUGCUGAAGGAAAUGUGUCCCCAGGGCCAUCUUUGAGGUUUCAAAGCCACUGGCAUUCCUAAAUCUUAUUCUGCUUUCUGAUUAAAGAUGUGAGCCCUCAGUUUCCUGCCUGUGUCACCAUGCCCCACCGUCAGGGAUUCUAACCCUCUGGAGUGGUAAGCUUACACACACACACAGACACACACACCACUCUCACCAACAAACCUUUAAUUUUGGGUAAUCAACUCUCCAGACUUCAGUUAAGAUGAUUAACCCUCCUAGUUUGUUAGGGACUGAGCAGCUUCCGAGGGCUGGGGGGGGGCGGGGGGCAGGGGAGGUCAUUGCUAAAAAUGAGAGCUGUCUAUGGCAAACUAGGACAGUUCCUUACCCACGUUUAGGUCCCUAUCUAAUAAAUGAGAUUGGGCUGGACUGGCGGUGAAAUUCUGCCAAAAUCUGUAUUCAAGCAGGCAUUAACAACUGACCUCAGAACUGAUUCCAGUGACUUAUAAGUAUCUUGUCACAAUCCUUAGCAUCUGGCCAGCUGCUGCCAAGAGUUGGCACUUACCUGCCAUCCUUGAACUGAACUUUUAACAAACUGCGAUUUUUAAGGAUCAGAGUUUAUUGAGGGUCAGCUUUAGCUCAAGCUCUGCUGCAAACCCCGAGUCAGACUUUCUUCUGCUCUGGCAAGUUCUCUAGAACUUGCAGAUCUUGAAUUUUUUUUUUUUUUCUUAUUUGAUUGCACAUUUGGGUAAAAAUAUGGACUGGCAACGGGUUACAUAUAAUUAAGAUAGUUUUCCUUUAAAUGAUGUGCUAGAUCUACAUAAACACUCUCCUACUAACGCCAUGAACUUAUGAGUGUGCAUUUUGGAAAUUACUAAUCUGAGACUUACUGGUCUGGUACUUGUCUAAACCUUGUCUGCAGGCAGAGCUACACGGAAUCCUAAGGCCAACCCCGUUUCAACAGCCACCACCUUUCUUCCACCAUGAUUUGGUUAGAUGCCUACUUCCACCUUUCAGUGCACAGUCCACAUCCCUCCCUAUCGGUGUGGAGUAUGCAAAGUCCUCUAAGACUUAGGUUUCCUUGAAUUCAAGUAGCCCUUUUGGGGGUUACUCUGCGUGGCUGGCUGGGGAGCCAAGAAGUUCCAGAUCGCUCACAAAGGGC
rnacentral:lncRNA from 1 species